rnacentral:tRNA from 2 species
UUACUAAUAGGUUAUUGAAACUGAUAGAUUGUGGUUCUGUUGAAUACUUAAACACAGUAUUAGUAAA